UCCGGGUUGGUCCCGGCGGUCCGGCCAGACAUAGUAACUGGCCGCGGGGGUUGCGCUCGUUGCGGGACUUAACCCAACACCUCACGGCACGAGCUGACGACAGCCAUGCAGCACCUGUGCGGGCUCCCGUAGGAGGACCGUGUUUCCACGGCUUCACCCCGCAUGUCAAGCCUAGGUAAGGUUCUUCGCGUUGCGUCGAAUUAAGCCUCAUGCUCCGCCGCUUGUGCGGGUCCCCGUCAAUUCCUUUGAGUUUUAACCUUGCGGCCGUACUCCCCAGGCGGUCAACUUCACGCGUUAGCUUCGUUACCAAGGAAUAACUUCCCCGACAACCAGUUGACAUCGUUUAGGGCGUGGACUAC
rnacentral:misc_RNA from 1 species